rnacentral:misc_RNA from 1 species
GAUGAAGAACGUAGCGAAACGCGAUAUGUAAUGUGAAUUGCAGAAUUCAGUGAAUCAUCGAAUCUUUGAACGCACAUUGCGCCCGCCAGUAUUCUGGCGGGCAUGCCUGUUCGAGCGUCAUUUCAACCAUCAAGCCCCAGGCUUGUGUUGGGGACCUGCGGCUGCCGCAGGCCCUGAAAACCAGUGGCGGGCUCGCUGUCACACCGGGCGUAGUAGAUUUUAUCUCGCUCAGGGCGUGCUGCGGGUUCCGGCCGUUAAAAAGCCUUUUUUACCCAAGGUUGACCUCGGAUCAGGUAGGAAGACCCGCUGAACUUAAGCAUAUCAAUAAGCGGAGGA